AACGCAUCUUGCGCUCCCUGGUAUUCCAAGGAGCAUGCCUGUUUGAGUAUCAUUAAAUUAUCAACUGUUGCCAAUGUGGUUUGCAGAUUGGAUGUGGGAGAUUUCUUGCAGGCUUUCAAAAGUCAGCUCUCCUGAAAUGAAUUAGCAGUGCCUUUGUUGGUUCAUUAGGUGUGAUAAUUUAUCUACAUCUUCAAAUGGUACCUUCAUUUGUAAAAAGGUCAUAUUGCUUCUAAUUGUCUUUGGGACAAAACAUAUAAUGAACUUGAUCUCAAAUCAGGCAGGACUACCCGCUGAACUUAA
rnacentral:misc_RNA from 1 species